rnacentral:rRNA from 1 species
CCCAGCUCGUCAUGCUAGAGCACUUUUUCAAUGGGCUCCCCAACGAAAAGGCGACGACGCAUUCGUAUGUCAUCUAUACCAACUUUUAAUGCCAUUUACUGCGCCUACCAUGGUGACCACGGGUAACAGGGAAUCAGGGUCGAUUCCUGAGAGGGAGCCUGAGAAACGGCUACCACAUGCAAGGAAGGCAGCAGGCGCGCAAAUGACCCACUCCCGAUGCGGGGAAGGUAGUGACG